rnacentral:rRNA from 1 species
UACGGGGGGGGCAAGCGUUGUUCGGAAUUACUGGGCGUAAAGGGCUCGUAGACGGCCAACUAAGUCGGAUGUGAAAUCCCCAGGCUUAACCUGGGAACUGCAUCCGAUACUGGAUGGCUUGAAUCCGGGAGAGGGAUGCAGAAUUCCAGGUGUAGCGGUGAAAUGCGUAGAUAUCUGGAGGAAUACCGGUGGCGAAGGCGGCAUCCUGGACCGGCAUUGACGCUGAUGAGCGAAAGCUAGGGGAGCAAACGGG